rnacentral:misc_RNA from 1 species
CUACUGCUGCUGCUGCUGCUGCUUCUUGAUCUUCUUUAUUUACUUAUAAAUGAGAUAUAGAUAGCUAGCUAUAGCUUGUGGAACUGAACCAUCAAAAAAAUUUUGUUCUCUUUCCAUGGAGCUCAAGUGUAGCAUCGCCCCCAUCUUUCUCCUAUUCCUCCUCCUUGUCUUACCUUGCAUUUCAAGAGGUCUGCAAGACUUUGUUAUCACCAUGAAGAACUUUAUUAUAGCUGACUAUAGUUGUAAAUAAGAGGAUGAUUAGCUAAAUUUUAUUUAUUUAUUUAUUUUGUUUUAUUUGAAUUACGUUUUGUUUGGUUACCCAGAAAAUGUAGGCCUUUGUGGGAGAAAAGGGAGGGAAGGGAUACUCAAAAUGACGACGUUAUUAAUAUUUUUGAGAGAAGACGUUAAUACUCAUUUAAUUAUUUUAGUAAAAGAAAUUUAGGAAAAGUGACGUAGUAAAUUUCAUAUUUGUAAUUUUUUGUGUGUUUAAAUUCUGUUAUGGACGAGGAUUUGGCAAUCUACUGACCAAUUGGGUAUGAAAUGCUUUCUUUUAGUCUUAUUUUGAGCUUUGGUUUCAUUUUUUAGGAUAAAUUUACGUUUUGAGAACUUUAUUUUAAAAGAAUAAAUCCAAUUAACGAAUUGAUGAAAAAAAAUAUAGUUUGAUGUUAAGAAAAUUUUUUUAGCUUUUCAUUUUUAUGUACAAUAAGACAAGCAUAUAGAACCGUCAAGCUAAGAAAUUGGAAUAAUGAAGAGUGUACAAAACAUUACAAUUUUUUUUUGUUUUAUUCAAUAGAGCGGCAUAAUGGCAAGGUAACAACUAGUUUGUUACACAAUUACACAAUGGGAGGUAAUAGAGGUAAUAGGUGGAUGGAAAGAUUUGAACUCGAUAUCUUUUCACUCUUUAUAAUCUACAAGGUGAAGGAAGACCAAUCAAUUACCCACUGGUGUGUUAUACGAUACAAUGGUAGGUAACAAUCUCCUUUCUCAUAUAAUUAGAUGAAGAGACUCAAACUUGAUACGUCUUCUGCUCCCCUUUGAUUGGCACAAAACAUUGCAUUUUUACCUUGACAUUUUUUGAUGGAAUAUAUUAUCAUUAUAACUGUAAAUUCUGAUUGGUUGAUAUCUUUCUUGCUGAUUUCUGCGUCAUGAUGAAUGUAUUUUUUCUUCCCCUUAUUUGUUUAUAGUUAUGUUCCUACUAAUUGAUGUAUAACCAAUAAAUAUUGAGGGGAUUUUCUCAAGUUAGAGCAAACAAAUUCUCAACUUAUUGCUCAAAGUAAUUGUCAAUAAUCAUAAUAGGUCUGUGAAUAAAAUAGAGAAACUGGACUCCUACUUAUAGAACUUGAAAUCUCAACACAUUAGUAUUUUAGAAAUCUUGAUUCAAUCCUAAUUAGGAAUUACAAAUUAAUAAAAGUAAUAAAAUAAAAUAAACUAUUUUCUGUAAUUUUUCCUAAAAUGAGUAGUUCUAAAGUUUCUAGGAUUUCCUACAUCAUUAAC